rnacentral:rRNA from 1 species
GACGAACGCUGGCGGCGCGCCUAACACAUGCAAGUCGAACGAGCGAGCGAGAGCUUGCUUUCUCAAGCGAGUGGCGAACGGGUGAGUAACGCGUGAGGAACCUGCCUCAAAGAGGGGGACAACAGUUGGAAACGACUGCUAAUACCGCAUAAGCCCACGACCCGGCAUCGGGUCGAGGGAAAAGGAGCAAUCCGCUUUGAGAUGGCCUCGCGUCCGAUUAGCUAGUUGGUGAGGUAACGGCCCACCAAGGCGACGAUCGGUAGCCGGACUGAGAGGUUGAACGGCAACAUUGGGACUGAGACACGGCCCAGACUCCUACGGGAGGCAGCAGUGGGGAAUAUUGCACAAUGGGGGAAACCCUGAUGCAGCGACGCCGCGUGGAGGAAGAAGGUCUUCGGAUUGUAAACUCCUGUUGUUGAGGAAGAUAAUGACGGUACUCAACAAGGAAGUGACGGCUAACUACGUG